rnacentral:rRNA from 1 species
UAAGAUCAGUAUGCAAGAGUGAAACAGCCCAGAUCGCCAGAUAAUGUCCCAUAUUGUGUAUUAAGUGGAAAAUGAUGUGGAGUUGCUUAGACAACUAGGAUGUUGGCGCAGAAGAAGCCACCAUUUAAAGAGUGCGUAAUAGCUCACUAGUCGAGUGAAUAUUCGCCUAAAAUGUACCGGGGCUAAUUACACCACCGAAGCUGCGAAUUGUUAACAAUGGUAUCAGUUGUAGGGG